UACGUAGGGUGCGAGCGUUAAUCGGAAUUACUGGGCGUAAAGCGUGCGCAGGCGGUUUGUUAAGUCUGAUGUGAAAGCCCCGGGCUCAACCUGGGAACUGCAUUGGAAACUGGCAAGCUCGAGUAUGGCAGAGGGGGGUGGAAUUCCGCGUGUAGCAGUGAAAUGCGUAGAGAUGCGGAGGAACACCGAUGGCGAAGGCAGGUCUCUGGGCUGACACUGACGCUCAUGCACGAAAGCGUGGGGAGCAACAGG
rnacentral:rRNA from 1 species